rnacentral:lncRNA from 1 species
GUGACAUCACACACAUGCCUGGCAGAAGGGGUCAGAACAAAAACCACAUUGCAGCUGGGGCUUGUUUCAGCUGAAGUGGCAGAGAAGUGUCAUCGCAGUUCUCCCAGAUGUGGCUGUGCAAGGACUGCUUGUCAUCCCUACAGCUGAUACCAACAACCAUAUUUGAGAGAAAGACUGAAUUGUGGUCAGAAGCUACUGGGACUCUGGAAAUCUGCGUUUCUAUUCUGCUCUACUAAAGGGAGACUCCCACGAUCCAGGAUGUACAAAGUGCCCCUUCUUACUCUAUUUGGAAGGCAGAUCUUUAGAGGGCUUCUGUAGUCCUUUUCCAACUUUAUUGGUGACAACCAACAAAUAUACAAACCAGAGUGAGGAAGCAGAGAAAAGCAGUCUUGCAUUCUUUCCCUUUCAUAGAUGAACUUAAACCCUGUUGCUGGCACAUAAAUUAGGAAAUCUUUAGCAGAAUCUAUCAUGCUUACAUUGAUUUCUUCCAGUAAUUUGUGCAGUCCUACCUGAAGAAGGGCUGUUCCUAUGGGGAAUGAGCAGCCUUGCUGUCACAGCCUCCUCCAGCUCCCCAAACCUGUGCAGCACUUGGAUCAAACCCAUUUUCCAUGCCUUGCCACAAGGCAGAGAGCAAU